GAUGAACGCUAGCUACAGGCUUAACACAUGCAAGUCGCGGGGCAGCAUUCUUUAGCUUGCUAAGGAAGAUGGCGACCGGCGCACGGGUGAGUAACGCGUAUCCAACCUGCCCUUGUCCACGGGAUAACCCCGGUGAAAAACCGGCCUAAUACCGUAUGAGGUCACAAGCGGACAUCCAACUGUGACGAAAGGUUUAGCGGACAAGGAUGGGGAUGCGUCCGAUUAGCUUGACGGCGGGGUAACGGCCCACCGUGGCGACGAUCGGUAGGGGUUCUGAGAGGAAGGUCCCCCACAUUGGAACUGAGACACGGUCCAAACUCCUACGGGAGGCAGCAGUGAGGAAUAUUGGUCAAUGGACGGGAGUCUGAACCAGCCAAGUAGCGUGCAGGAUGACGGCCCUAUGGGUUGUAAACUGCUUUUGUGCGGGGAUAAAGUGUGGGACGUGUCCCAUAUUGCAGGUACCGCAUGAAUAAGGACCGGCUAAUUCCGUG
rnacentral:rRNA from 1 species